rnacentral:lncRNA from 1 species
GCUGGGGUCUGCCAGUUGUGAUGGAUUAAAUACUGUUUUUUGCCAGCUGGUUAUUAAAGCCAGUAUAUGGACUGUUUUGUGGGAAGAAGUCUAGACUAACUAGACAGUGAUGCUGCACUGGGAGUAAGAGGAGGAGGAGCGGAGGAGCAGAUAAGACAGGUGAGACAGAGAAAUCAUUUCCUUGGAAAGUUCACUGAACCAAGUAGUGCUUGAGGACUGGAGAUUCAGUUUGGACAAUUUAGGUUUAAAAAUGAAGCCAGUGGGAUUGCUGGUUCCCAGCAUUUGGUUCCUCCAAAUGGUCUGCUUUGUAGCCUCUGAUCAGAUAGGUUUCGAAGGAAAAAAGCAUACCAUUCUUUAAAUUGUUUAAAAUUUUUUCCACAUUAUUUUACUCUCUUAUUUGGAAGUUGAGCAGCAGUGUGUCAUCUUUAUUGCUUCUUCCAGCCCUAGAGAACUAUGUUCUUUCGGGUCUCAUUUCUGUACUGCUCUUCCAGCAAAGGAGUGCCAAGUGGCCGAGUGUCAGCUCUCCUUCGUUCCACUGAUCUUAGCACAUGCCUUCUCACCUUCCCGACGUAAUGAUUCAGGGUAUCUCCUGGACUGAAUGGGAGGGGUAGUAGGUGCUGACCUGAAGUUCUGAGGUGGAUUUUUGUUUUGUACAAUAUCACUCCAUCACUGUGCUUGCUGGCGUUAGGAGUGCAGCCCAUCACUUCUGCAGUUUUGGUGCUGCUCUAGAUUUAAACAUAUGGUAUGGUCACCUUAGAAUUGCUUAUUCAACUUUUCUGUAGCUUGUGUUCACUGUCCUAGUGGCCAAAAACAGGAUGGGGGUUUACAUGUGGCCUUAGCUUGGCAUAGUAACCCAAGGACUUUCUGCAUUAGGAAAGCAUGUCCUAGACAGAAGGAAGAACUUAAAAACCCAGCUGCAUUGUGGUGGGUUGACCCUGGCUGGCAGCUAAGCCCCCUAUUCUGUUGCUUGCUCAAUACCCCCAGCAGGAUGGGAGAGAGGACUGGAAGGAUAAAAGUGUCUAGAUAGUUAAAAAAAAAAAAAGAAUGCCAAGCGAUGCAAAGGCAAUCACUCACCACUUCCCACCAGCAGACCAGUGCGCAGCCAAUCUCCAAACAACAGCUACUUUGGAACCACACAAACACACACCAGUUUUAUUGCUGAGUAUGACAUUAUAUGGUAUGGAAUAUUUCUUCAGUCUGUUUAGGUCUGCUGUCCUGGCUGUGUGCCCUCACACCCUCUUGCCCAACCCCAGCCUGCUCUGCUGGGGUGGCAGAGUGAGAAACAGGCCUUGACCCUGUGCAAGCACUGCUCAGCAACAGGUUAAGCACUGUUGUAUUAAUCAACACUGUUCUGGUCAAUAAUCUAAACCACAGCACCAUGCAGACUGCUGUGAAGAAAAUGAACAUCC